rnacentral:lncRNA from 1 species
UGGGUGGGAGAUGGGCGGAGGAGGAGAGGGGUUUGGCGGAAGGAGGGAAGAGGAGGGGUUUGGCGAGGAGGGAAUUGGGGAAGAGGGUGGAAUUGGGGCCGGUCAGAGCCAUUUGCCUCCCGUUCUCUCACUACUAUUUGCUACUUCCUAGAGAGAGAGAGGGUCGGAAAUCGGAAUUAUUAGAUGUGCGACUGGGAAGAGAGAGAGAGAGAGAGGGGGGGU